rnacentral:lncRNA from 1 species
GAAAUAUGAGGACGAAAACUAACUGUCCCUCCGUAAUGUUCGUCUCGCUUGAACUCUUCCCUAAUCCUCCUCUUGACUUGAGUGUUGUCAGCGAUUGAAGACUCAAAGUCAUCCACCAAUCCAUCCACCAUCCGUUGCGAGCCUGCUGCUGCCAAUUCAAUCGAGUGGUGCUAUUGCCGAUUCAGUGGAUUUGACGAGCUAGCCAUUUGCCAUCGUCCAGACGUUGAUAGUUGUCGCCACCAGUCUACCGUCUAUUGCUAUAGCCGCCCCUUCCCAAAUCCCAUUGACCCAAGGUUAGUUACAAAGUCUACAAGUCUUUACUCUUAUUUUGUGUUUAGAUUUUAACUUACAUAAACACUACAUCUCCUGAUCUCCGAACUCCGGUAAUGACAUUAGUUAUGGCAGUGUGGCAAAGUGAAAUUUGAACUGAAGAUUUAUUUUGUGAUUUAGGAAUCUAUUUGAAUUUGUUGAACUAGAUAUGUAAAUGCUAGGGAUUGAAUUUGCUUGGAGCAAAUCUGAAUAUAUUAUUUGUGAAUUUCUGUGAAUGUAUUGAACUAGCAAAAUAGGUGUGUAAAUGUUAGGGAAUAGGGAUUGACUGUUUGAAUUUUGUUUGGGAUUUGGAAAUUUCAUCAAAAAUUAAAAAUAAAGAUAGCAUUAUUAGGUAAUUGUGAGACUGAUAUGCUUAAAACUUCAGGCAAUUAUGAAAUUUAUUUUGUGAUUAUU